rnacentral:SRP_RNA from 2 species
GCUGGGUGUGGUGGCGUGCGCCUGUAAUUCCAGCUACCUAGGAGGCUGAGGCAGGAGAAUUGCUUGAACCCGGGAGGUGGAGGUUGCAGUGAGCUGAGAUCAUGCCACUGCACUCCAGCCUGGGUGACAGAGCAAGACUCUGUUUCAA